rnacentral:misc_RNA from 1 species
GUACAUACACGCAUCGAUGUGAAUGGUAAUUUUUCAGUGAAAAUAAACCGAAACACGUUAUACCCUUAAAACAAAUAAUGAUUAUAGCGAUGAUAAUAAUAAGGCAACAACAACAAGAACAACGACGAACAAAGGCGGAUGUUUUAACCAAACCCCGCGUAAUUGCGCCACAAAUCCGUUUUACUAUGUGAACGCACGAAGGUAACGUUAUCGAUUGAUAACUAAAGUGGGAAACACGGCGGUGGCGGAAUCAUAAAG